rnacentral:rRNA from 1 species
AUGUUUCCUGAAUGUUUUGCAUGGCAGUCCCUAAAGUUGGCAUUAUACCUAGAAGGUCCACUUCCAGAUCUUCACACGGACUCUGACCUUGCACGAGUGCGCGGCGGUGCUCACCGUCGCGGUCGUCUCGGCGUUGUCCAACGCAGGCGCAGGAGCCAGGGCGGUGCCAUUCUUCCCCUUUACCUUCUUCGGCGGUGGCGGAGGUGGACUGGGUGGCGUCACCUUGAUGCCCUCGCAGUGCACCUGGAUGCCCAUCUUCUUUGUCUUGAGGCUGCCGACCUUGACGCCGGCCCGCGUGUCGGCAUCUAUAGCGACGGAGAAAGCACCGGACUUCUUAAGGUCAGAGCCGGCGCUGCUGGGAUCUACGGUGACACCAGCGGCGGUGAUGGUGGCAGUGAAAACGGUGGUGUUGCCGGCUUCAUGCGCGAACCCGGGCACGGUGGCGUCCCCGAGCGGGACUGCGUUGGCGGCGGUGGCGGCCGAGAAGGAGAAGUCGUCGUAGAAAUAGACGAGCUUCUUGUUGGGGUUCUUGGCGGUGACGGUGAGCCGGAUGGAGUCGGUGAGGACGGGCGCGGUGGUGGAGGAGGAGAGGUUGAACGUGCUGAGGCGGACAGAGGAGACGGUGAAGCUGGGGCGUUGCGGGCGGUAGAGCAGGUAGAAGGCGCCGCCCGCGGCCGCGGCGACUAG